CCCGCCCCCCCCCUCCCCACCCCUCGAGCGAGGAGGAGGUCGGUAGGCGUCCCCAGAUCUGUUAAGGGAUACGAACUGGAGCUCUCGAUCGCUCACGCGCCGGGCACAACCUCCGUCUGCUCUUAUUGCUCGCCGGCGACGCCAGCAUGGAGCUACUCCGUGCUCGCUUGGGCUCGGGACGCCGCUGCUCGCCAAGACACCACUGGCAUCGAACCCUAGCCGCACCGCACCAGCGGCGGCCAUCGACGACGGAGUACAGUACAGGACGGCCUCCCAGACGCGGCCGUCAUACCCCAAGGAGCCUUCUUCGCCAGCCCUUGCCUCCUCUCCCGAGAUGUGGACUGAUGAUGGCUGCUUCCUCCUCCCCUCCUCAACCACCAGCCCCAGAUCUGGACCUUCCGGACAUGGACGUGGACGUGAUAGGUAAAGAAUUCACCCUUGAUGCUGCUUCUUCAGUGGAGACAAUCUGGUCCCUGACUGCUACUGGAACGAGAUGUGCGAUGGCUCAUCCCACUCAGCUCUUGAAGACAGCGUGUGUACCAGGGAAGGAGAAUGGCAUAAAUGCAAGUUGUGACUACUUGGAGUGGUAAGUAAAGAAUUCACCCAUGCUGAUUCUUCUUCAGUUGAGACAAUCUGCUCCCUGGCUGCUACUGGAAUGAGAUGUGUGAUGGCUCAUCUCACUCGGCUCUUCAAGACAGCGUGCGUACAAGGGAAGGAGAAGGGCAGAAAUGCAAGACUGACUGCUUGGAGUGGUAAGCUUGCUGCAAGUUAUAACUAUAGCUUCAAACAAUGCUUGUGCAAAUUAUUCUAGCCAUAUAUGUGACAAACAAUGCUUCUCCAGCAAAUUUCCACACCAAUCCGUCCAUCUAUCAUUUAGAUUUUCUACUUCUGAAAAUUAAAAAAAUAGUGACACGCUAGCCUUCUCCAUUAACCACUUUGUGUGUGCUGCUAUAUGAACAUGUUUCGAUUUGGCUGCUCCCCCUACCUUAUGCGUGCGCAGGUGCUUUGAGUGCUUCCUUCUUCCCUUCCUGGGACGCCGCUCUCCCACUGCUCUGACGCCAUAGACAGACAAAUCAACCAAAAUUUCUGGAGCAGGAUAGUCGCUUGACAUUUUGUUAUACAUGCAACUGAGCCGGUCAGUUGGCGGCUCCCAGAUAUAUCCGCCACGGUCGCCAUGAUGAUGACGACCUCCCCUCCACAUGCUUGUGCUCGGUGGACGACGCGACCGUCUCUUCCUCACCUCACCUCACCUCAGGCUGGUGGCGUCCAGAUCAAGUGGAUUCGUCAAUGGCCUCGACAGAUGCAGUCUGAUUGCCAUCAUGAAGGCUCCUUCUCCACAACCACACAUGGGAAGCCAUGGAAGCUCCAUGUGCUUGUUCUCCAUGGAGGUCAGCAGCUGCCAUGCCGCGAUGGAAGCAAGUCCCAGAGCUCGUCAAGAUAACUAGUGUCGCCGAUCUGCCAAGCAUAUGAUUCCAAAGCAUCUUGUCAUCAGUGACCUACUUCCACUGGGACCUGACUGCCAUCCGACAACACGUGAGCCAUACCGGACAUCGUUGGGACCUCCAUGUCCGGCUACAUGGGUUGCGGGCCCGGCGCAAAUGACACUUGCUCUCCCCAGAGCUCUCUCCCUCCUCUGACACCUAUGAUGAACACUUCUUCUCUGACCACGGCCGAGGUGAGCCAGUCGCUUCGUUUCUUUUGCAUACUUACUCUCAUUCCCUGUGUGUCCACAACCAUCGAGCCGUGGUAGUUGUAUACUGGCCAUUGCACCAUGGAGAUUUCUUGGGCUGGGUUGGGGGCUAUGGUCAUGGUGUCUGUUGUAAUCUACAUUUCUGUUUCUGUGAAUGAACGAUGACGACAAUAUUAUUUUCCUACCUAUGGCUGCGGCUGCGUUGAGCCGUCUCAAUUGGUACUUUUGAUUGUUACACAUGUUCUGAAUCCAUGAUGCUCAGGGUCCCUGAUAACCCACAAGUAUAGGGGAUCGCAACAGUUUUCGAGGGUAGAGUAUUUAACCCAAAUUUAUUGAUUCGACAC